rnacentral:rRNA from 1 species
UGGCUAACUCCUACGGGAGGCAGCAGUGGGGAAUUUUACGCAAUGGGGGAAACCCUGACGUAGCGACACCGCGUGAGCGAAGAAGCCCUUUGGGGUGUAAAGCUCUGUCAGCUGGAACGAAAACAAUGACGGUACCAGCAGAGGAAGCAUCGGCUAACUACGUGCCAGCAGCCGCGGUAAGACGUAGGAUGCGAGCGUUGUCCGGAUUUAUUGGGCGUUAAGAGUUCGUAGGUGGUUUGUUAAGUUUGGUGUUAAAGAUCGGGGCUCAACCCUGGGACUGCACUGAAUACUGGCAGACUCGAGUGUGGGAGAGGCUAGUGGAAUUCCCGGUGUAGCGGUGAAAUGCGUAGAUAUUGGGAAGAACACCGGUGGCGUAGGCGACUAGCUGGGCCAUAACUGACGCUGAGGAACGAAAGCCAGGGGAGCGAAUGGGAUUAGAAACCCUGGUAGUCCAGCUGG